CAUAGAUUAAAGAAUGAAUAGAUGGCUCACUCCUUUGAUGUUCUUGACGCUGCCGACACGCGCGACUUCCGGCCGGCCGCCAUUACUCUGGCAAGAACACCCCAGCAAGAACAAUAGGAAAAUGUAUUGUGAAAUUGACAUCGCCGCUACUAAAUCCUAAUUUUUUCCGCUCUCGGGCAUCCGAAUGGAAGAAAUCGAUCAGAAUUAUGAAAAGGGAAGGUAUGAAAACAAUUUUGAUGUUUUUAUUUGCCAAGAAAACAUUUCUUUGACUUGAAAUACUUAUUUCUAUUGUUUGGCCAGAUGGGCUCCGAAGAGUGCAGAGAAUUUAUAUAACAUGAUUCGAUGGUAAAAUAUAUACUCGAAGUGUUCACAGUUCUGCUUCAAAAUUAUUCUCUAUUGUUUCCUUUUUAGUUUAAAUUAUUAAAAUGGAAAACUGAUUACUGGACAAUAUAUUUUUAUGGCUCUAAAAUGCGUUUUACGAACUAUGUAUAUUUCGCAUGUCAAAUUACUAGUAUGCCACCAGAUACAUGUUCUACAUUUUAAUUUGAAAGCAUUCCUGUUUUCCAUAAACCAUAACCAGUUCUAUAUAUGUUUUACAAGUGUGCAACUUUAAUGUACUUUUUGCUCUUUCUCUUAGAUGGAGAUGCCAGUCAACUAUAAAUGUGGAUGUGGUAUAGACAGGACAAGCAUGUCAGACAGUCUUCCAGGUGCAGAACAAAGUCAAAGAAGGGCUGUGUUGGCAGUAUCAGUCCUGAACUGCUGAAGAGCUAGUAUCAUUUCUGUAGUUCAUGAAAUGACAGUACAACAAUGAAUCAGAUUCAAGAUACUUGGAUGUCAUGGUUUCUUUACACGAGGAACAAUCAUGGACAUGGAAACAUUUCUUAAGUAGAUAUAUCCAGCUACAUAUGCCACAGCGUUUUGUUGUACCAUAAUGGAUAUUAUGGCUUAUCAUUCAAACAAUUUUUAAUAGUCGGAUUGACGAACAUAGAAUCUUGCUCAGAACAUAGUUUGCAGGUGGCGUAUAAAUACUUGAUCUUGGGGGUUUUAUUCAAAAGGUCUUCACGUCGACACAGUAUAGGGAAACAACAGCAGUGCCACUCAGCAUCAAAAAGUGUCCACAUUAUUUACUGGCUGCCAACUUAAUUAACAUAUUGGCAGCCAGUAAACCACACAGUUCACUAUAAAAUUGUAUUACAGAAUAAAUGGUUUUGGCCGUGUAAGACACCUGGAACUAAGUAGCCCUACUGUUGUUUCCCUGUACUGUGAGGUCGACAUGCAACAACCCACUCUUUGGGUCUACAAGAAUUCAUUACAAACUGUUUACAUGUUGAAAACAACUGUAUAUGUUUAAAAUAAAAUCUUUAAUAUCUAAAUUCAUUUAAAUUAAAGAAAGAGACGUUGUCUGAAGUAGUUCUAAUCUGACAAUUAGACCUAUUCAAAAAAAAGUAUAAGUAGUUGAAUGUCAAAGGAAAGUAGCACAAAAAGGUCAGAGGUUAAACGACUUCACACAUUGAGACAAACUGAGUAUCACUGAGUUGUGAGUUUCUCUCUUAUUUUUAAUAUAUAUUAUAUUUUUUCAAGAAAGUUGAAUUACUGUAUGAUAAAAUUUGCAUAGUUGUAUAAGAAAAAUAUUUCAAAAUAAAAUAACAAGUGAGUGUUUGAAACAGAGAACUAUAACAAUUCCUGAAGUCCAUAUUUAUAUGGUAGUACUGUGAUUCAACAAAACCAUUUACAAUAAUAUAUCACCAGUUUAAUGUAUAUUUGUAUCUAAAACACAGUAAAAUAUCCUCCUUGAUAAUGUUGAUCCAAGUUUUAAAACUGGUCACAAACAUUUUUCAUUUUCUUGAAAGUUCAAGUGUCCAAUAAAGCCAUGUUUUAUAAAGGUCAAUCACCAAAUCUUUCACGAAAGUAUUGUUAUUUUGGAAAGCAGAUUAUCAAAGAGCAAAGUAAGUUCUUGCUUUGUUUAUGCAUGUGUAACCAAAUACCUCUUUCAGAAAUGUUUCAAUGUCUAUGAUUCUUUAUUUAAGAAACCAUGGUAACUAAGGAUUGAGGAGCUUACUUCUUCAGGAUUGAUAUAGAAUUAAUCCAAGUCUAGGAUUGAUAUUGCCACAUCAGCCCUUUAUAUUUGAUUUGCAUAUGGAAGAAGUGUUUAUUCAACAUUUUUUGUUUAUACCAAAUCCACAUAUAGUUGAUCUUUUUUGCUGAAGAGCAUAAUUAAAAUGUCCAUGUCGCACAUUCAAGUGCUGCCAGAGUUUCCAAAAUAUAUAUUGAAGUAUCAUUCCUCAAAAAAUAGAUUUCAUCUAAGAGAAAGAACAAAAAAAGUACAUUAAAGUCGCACAAUUGUAAAACAUAUAUAGA